UGGAUUGAGAGAAAUGGAGAGAAGUGAAAAGAAAAGAAAUUUGAUUUCUCUCCAUUCCCUUGUUUGGACAUCAAGUAGAAGGGAGAAAGGAAGGGAAAUAAGAAGAUUGAGGAGAAACGCACCUCUCCUUUGUAAUUAACCCACAUCAUUUCUCUCCAAAUCGGUGGGAAUUGAGGGGAAAUGGAGAGAAAUUUAUAGUAA
rnacentral:misc_RNA from 1 species